CAGUAGCCACGGGAAUACGAAGGGGGCUAGCGUUGUUCGGAAUUACUGGGCGUAAAGCGCACGUAGGCGGAUAUUUAAGUCAGGGGUGAAAUCCCAGAGCUCAACUCUGGAACUGCCUUUGAUACUGGGUAUCUUGAGUAUGGAAGGGGUGAGUGGAAUUCCGAGUGUAGAGGUGAAAUUCGUAGAUAUUCGGAGGAACACCAGUGGCGAAGGCGGCUCACUGGUCCAUUACUGACGCUGAGGUGCGAAAGCGUGGGGAGCAAACAGGAUUAGAUACCCCCGUAGUCCCUGUCUCUUAUAC
rnacentral:rRNA from 1 species